rnacentral:tRNA from 1 species
ACCUAAUAAUUUAUAAAUAAAAUAUUAAGUUGUGGUCUUAAAACAGGUUCUCUCCUCAAUAGCUUC